rnacentral:rRNA from 1 species
GGUCAUAGUGAUCCGGUGGUUCUGAAUGGAAGGGCCAUCGCUCAACGGAUAAAAGGUACUCCGGGGAUAACAGGCUGAUACCGCCCAAGAGUUCAUAUCGACGGCGGUGUUUGGCACCUCGAUGUCGGCUCAUCACAUCCUGGGGCUGAAGUAGGUCCCAAGGGUAUGGCUGUUCGCCAUUUAAAGUGGUACGCGAGCUGGGUUUAGAACGUCGUGAGACAGUUCGGUCCCUAUCUGCCGUGGGCGCUGGAGAACUGAGGGGGGCUGCUCCUAGUACGAGAGGACCGGAGUGGACGCAUCACUGGUGUUCGGGUUGUCAUGCCAAUGGCACUGCCCGGUAGCUAAAUGCGGAAGAGAUAAGUGCUGAAAGCAUCUAAGCACGAAACUUGCCCCGAGAUGAGUUCUCCCUGAGACUUUAAGUCUCCUGAAGGAACGUUGAAGACGACGACGUUGAUAGGCCGGGUGUGUAAGCGCAGCGAUGCGUUGAGCUAACCGGUACUAAUGAACCGUGAGGCUUAACCUU